rfam:Babjeviella inositovora NRRL Y-12698 unplaced genomic scaffold BABINscaffold_25, whole genome shotgun sequence.
GUACUAUUGGCUUAAUUGGUAAAGCGCCCGUUUUGUAAUCGGGAGAGUUAGAGUUCGAGUCUCUAAUAGUACA